GGGUUGCGCAGCUACCAUGCAGUCGAGCGGAUGAGGGAGCUUGCUCCUGGAUUCUCGGCGGAGGGUGAGUAAUGCCUAUGAAUCUGCCUGAUACUGGGGGAUGACGUCCGGAAACGGGCGCUGAUACCGCAAACGUCCUGAGGGAGAAAAUGGGGGAUCUUCGGACCUCACCCUCUCGCAUGAGCCUAGGUCGGAUUAGCUAGUUGGUGGGGUAAAGGCCUACCAUGGCCACGAUCCGUAACUGGUCUGAGAGGAUGAUCAUUCACACUGGAACUGAAACUCGGUCCAGACUCCUACUGGAGGCAGCAGUGGGGAAUAUUGGACAAUGGGCGAAAGCCUGAUCCAGCCAUGCCGCGUGUGUGAAGAAGGUCUUCGGAUUGUAAAUCACUUUAAGUUGGGAGGAAGGGCAGUGAGUUAAUACCUUGCUGUUUUGACGUUGCCAACAGAAUAAGCACCGGCAAACUUCGUGCCACCCCCCGGGGGAAAAAAAAAAAAAA
rnacentral:rRNA from 1 species